rnacentral:rRNA from 1 species
AUGAGCUGCUCCAUGAACUUCCGGGUGCUAGCUGGUUCUCCAAACUGGAUCUCCGUGUCGGGUACCAUCAAAUUAGAUUGGCAGAGGGGGAAGAGUACAAAACCGCAUCACCCUGGCCAUUAUGAAUACAAGGUGCCGCCUUUUAGAGUAGCUGGGGGUCCGGCUACAUUUAAGGGAGCCAUGAACCACACUCUGAAACCAACAGCCGAGUUCUUGAUCAAAACAGAUCAACAUAGUUUGGUGCAUCUCGAAGACCAACGGUUACAUACCCCAUGGCAACAAAAGGCAUUCACCAAGUUAUUGCGUCUUCGCUACAGAUUGUGCUACCAGAAAGGAGUUGACAAUGGAGCUUCCAACGCUCUCUCUCGGUGCCCAUUCACUGACGUAGAUACCUUGUAUGCAAUCUCACCUUGCCAUCCAGAGUGGAUCAAUGAGGUGAAAGCAACUUACGCCCAGGAAGCGGCUACCCAGAAGAUCAUUGAUGAUUUGUGCAAGGGUCCUCAAUCCAACCAGCACUACUCCCUAUUGGAUGGCAUCUUGGGCUAUCAAAGAAGAGUUUGGAAUGGGCGAAACAAUCAAAUGCAGCAACAAAUGUUACUUGCGGGGCACCAAUCGGCAAUAGGGGACACUCCAGAGCACCGGCCACUUAUCAGCGUCUGA